rnacentral:rRNA from 1 species
AUUGAACGCUGGCGGCAUGCCUUACACAUGCAAGUCGAACGGCAGCACGGGAGCUUGCUCCUGGUGGCGAGUGGCGAACGGGUGAGUAAUACAUCGGAACGUACCCUGAAGUGGGGGAUAACGUAGCGAAAGUUACGCUAAUACCGCAUAUUCUGUGAGCAGGAAAGAGGGGGAUCGCAAGACCUCUUGCUUUAGGAGCGGCCGAUGUCGGAUUAGCUAGUUGGUGAGGUAAAGGCUCACCAAGGCGACGAUCCGUAGCGGGUCUGAGAGGAUGAUCCGCCACACUGGGACUGAGACACGGCCCAGACUCCUACGGGAGGCAGCAGUGGGGAAUUUUGGACAAUGGGCGCAAGCUUGAUCCAGCCAUGCCGCGUGAGUGAAGAAGGCCUCGG